ensembl:lncRNA
CUCCGGAGCGGGCUGUCUGCUUGCAGCAAAAUCUACAGGUCCAUGUGCAGCCCCAAAGGAAGGAGGCGCCCUCCCGGGCCCCCUCAGCGUGGGGAGCAGGCUUCCGCCUCCCCAGUGCCUCUGCAGCCCUCUUCGUCCCCCUCCCCAAGGCCACAGAGGAAUCUGGAAUCGAUGGGGGGUGCGGGUAGAGGCCACACUCCCUCCCCCUGCUCCCACCAGGGGGGUUUCUUGCUCCGACGCUGUGUCUGGGCCCUGCCCCCUCCACCAAGGAGCAGGUGCCCCCCCUUCUGUUCUGGAGAAGCCUGAAGCAGGGUUGCCCCAGAGAGAGCCAGGCCUGGUCUCGAGUCGCAGAGGCACACUCGGGGCAGAGAUGAAACAGCAGAAGCCGCAGGCGGUGCUCACGCAGCCCCGGGAGCCCCCUGUGCAGGAGGCUGAGCAGCAGAGGGAGGCUCAGCACCCAUCCCCGUCCCCAGCUUGCAAACGGCAGAAGGGAGCUAAAACCCAGGUUUAUCUGACCGAAAGUCCAAGACCUCGAUGAACUGUCUCAGCCAAACUAAAACUGUGCAGGGAUGCCGUGCUCCCCCCACGCUGCGAGGACAUGAGAGACAGCCGCCCGCUCCUCGUGUUUCACCCUGCUCCCCGGGUCUCGCGGCGUUGCCCUGCACACCCUCCUACUCCUACCAAACAGAUGUGUGUGUGAGGACCCCAAGCCAAGCUGGGCUUGCGUCGGCACUACCUUACGGCCCCACCCAUCAGAGGUCCUCCGGGCUGGCUACACAGAGGAGACGCAGGACGACCCCUGAGCCCCUGCCUCAGAGAUGCAGGUGGACGCGGGCAGCGGGGCUUCCCAGGGGCUCUCACAGACAGCCAGGACCGGAGCCGCAGAGACCAACGCACAGCCCACCCUACCCACGCGGGCCCCUCCACCCCGCACGCGCUGGCAUGUGCUGGCUGCGGGCAGAGGGCGGAACAGUGGCCAGCUUGGGGCCUGAAGCGGCCAAGAGCGCAAAGGCUCUGAGUCCUCCUGACCAGCUGGUGGGGAGAGGCCACCGAGAGACCCACAAAGGCCGGGAAGGAGAAAGCCUGUCUCUCCAGCCUUUGCUGAGGCCUUGGGGGAACAGAGGGAGGCCUCUGCCAGGAAGGAACGCGGACCUUCUGAAUCCCCCUGCUUUCAACACAGCCCUGCUUCACCACGACCUCCUCCAGGAGGCCCUCCUGACCCCUGCUGGGAGCCUCUUCGCCCUCCAGCGCCAGCGCCUGCUCUAUGCACCGGACACCCACUCCUGCUGAAAUCUCUUCUGCUAAGGGAAAAGUCGCCAAGCUCUUGGAAAGGGAAAAAAAAAGACAUCAGAAAUUUUAAAAUGUAAUAAAAGCACUAGAAGAUAAAUUGAGGAAAUUUCCCAGAGAGUCGGAUAAAAAAGACAAGGAAACAAGGAAAGGACAGAUGAGAAACUCAUCCCAACAGCUGAAUCACAGGAGGUUUAGAACCACAAUGAAGGAUAUAGAAUAACGCAAG